GGUUCCUUAGUGUAGUGGUUAUGACGUUCGCUUCUUCCGAGAAAGGUCUCCAGUUCGAUCCCGGAUGGAACCA